GACGAACGCUGGCGGCGUGCCUAAUACAUGCAAGUAGAACGCUGAAGGAGGAGCUUGCUUCUCUGGAUGAGUUGCGAACGGGUGAGUAACGCGUAGGUAACCUGCCUGGUAGCGGGGGGUAACUAUUGGAAAGGAUAGCUAAUACCGCAUAUUAGCAGUGGUUGCAUGAUAACUGUUUGAAAGGUGCAUUUGCACCAUUACCAAAGGGACCUGCGUUGGAUUAGCUGGUUGGUGGGGUAACGGCUCACCAAGGCGACGAUACAUAGCCGACCUGAAGGGGGGAUCCGCCACAAUGGGACUGAGACACGGCCCAGACACCUACGGGAGGCAGCAGAAGGGAAAUAUCGGCAAUGGACGGAAGUCUCGCCGAGAAACGCCGCGUGAGUGAAGAAGGUUUUCGGAUCGUAAAGCUCUGUUGUAAGAGGAGAACGAGUGUGAGAGUGGAAAGUUCACACUGUGACGGUAUCUUAACAGAAAGGGACGGCUAACUACGUG
rnacentral:rRNA from 1 species